GUAAAGUAUAACCCCAGUAUCAUUGACUGCCCGCGCAACAAUCACUCGCGGAUGGUCACUCUAAGCUGGCAGAUAGACGUCUCGAUGAACCACUUAAGUUCCGUUGUGAAGUUUUUGCCCUUCAGGCUGUAUUUCAUGACACUACUGUAGUUCACACACCC
rnacentral:snoRNA from 20 species